GUAAACCCUAAUGUUGUCUUUACUUAAACAAUCAAGUGUACUUGACUAAACAUUACUUGAAAUUGUGCAUUUUGGCCGGGUCACUCAAAAAUAUAAGUUCAAAUAACUAAUUUACCUUCAAAAUACAAAAACUUAAGAUUCCAAGUGCAGUGAACUCAAAAUAAUGAUUAAAACUUACAAAAGGUCAUUUUCACAAAUUUCUUAACUGUGAAAUGAAGGAUACAUUCAUACAUGCUUUCUUCAAGUGCAAGGUGUCAUUCUUAUUUUACCAGAAAACAAAUGGCUUUCAUUUUACAAUUAUUGAUCAUAAUGUAAAUAAACGUUUAUUUAAAAAAAAAAUCCUGAUACUUUAAACUUCAUAAAUAAACUUUAAUAUCUGUAUUCAAGUGUUUUUGUAAUACUGUGGGUUGCAGUUUUCACUCAGUAGCCUUUUUUAUGCAGUAAACAACAUGUACAGAACAAUAAAACAAACAAAAUACAAGCUCAUACAUUUCACGUGCACAUAUAUGCCACGUGACAAAAUGCAUGAAAGAGUUCCUCACAUCAGCCACCAACCAUGUAUCAAUGAAAAAAUAAUAUACAAACUUACAGAAAUACAGCGACGACACAUUAUGUUUAACGUUAAAUCAAAUUCAUUUCAAAUCGGUUUAAUUAAAAUGUCUCUCUCUGAUCUUCCUCUGAUGCGAUUGGCCACGCAAGGAGUUCUGCCUGGCAACAAGAAAACUAAUGCACUAAUUGGUGGAUUUCAAAAUUGGUGAUUUUCGCAUCGUCUGUUGCUGCUGCUGACACAAGUUCAAAUCUCAAGACGGGAGGUUUUCUUUGUGUAACAUUCUCGAUCAAGUUCAACAGAAAAAAACCUAAAACAGGAUUUCUACUUCUACAGAACAUACAGUUCAUGGACCUUUUUACAGCCAAAAGGGGGACUCCUGGUCAGUACUUGGCUAACGUUCAAAUAAAGGUUAGUAAUGGUUAAUAAUAAAUAAAGGUUUUGUCUUAUUUAAAAUAACUAACAGGAUAACUUUUACUCACCCUCAAGGUGUUCUAAACCUGUAUACAUGUAUUUGUUAAAGCUGAACACAAAGGAAGAUAUUUUGAAGAAUGUUUGUAAUUGAACAGAUUUGGGUACAAUUAAUGUUCGUAGUAUUUUUUUUUUUUCUUUUUUUUUUAAGCAUGUAAAAGUCAAUGUUGGCCCAAAACUGCUUGGUUACAAACAUUCUUCAAAAUGUAUUCUUCCUUUGUAUUUAGCUGAGCAAAGAAAUGUACAGGUUUGGAUUGGAAUAACUUGAGGGUGACUAAAUGAUGACAGAAAUUUCAUUUUGGGGGAACGAUCCCUUUAAAAGCAUUUAAUUUUGUCAGCAUUUAAUCGUAUAAAAAUUCUUCAAAUAUAUUGAUUAGUUGUUGGCAUUAAUGGAAUUUUGUGUUUUCCUUUAAAAUCAUCCCAGCCAACGGAGGUCCGAACCCUUGGGAUUCGAUGACAACCUAUCAUGCUUGGAGAUGAUGGUGACUCUGGGAUUAAGGUGUCUGAUCAUCGCAACUCCAUCCUUAAUGUGCCAGUGGGCAUCUUAUUUGAGGACACUGAACUUCAGCCCCCCAAUUCCUUGUAUUUAACUUCUACGAUUGGAAUAAUACUUGAAGGACAAGUGGUGAUUGAAAAAACGCAGGACCUCCCACAGGCUAUGUGUCUCCUCUUCGGUCUGAUCUACGCUGUCUGAUCUACGUGUGCUAAUGUCAAUGGGACAGUAUUCUCUCAAGCCUAAAUUGCAGUCUCUGGCAAACCAGCUUUUUGUUUAAAAAACGUCACUGUGAGACUUUAACACCACUCUGAGAAAUGUUCUACAAAUGAUUUGCAGAAGAUACAGUACUGUAAUAUUGUGCAAAUAUUUGGUCAAAGACACUGACUAUGGUCACUAUGCUUUACUUAGUUUGCUGUGAUUUCAUAAAGCUUAAACAAGUAAAAUGUAAAAACAAUGUACAUUACGUGUACAUGUUCAGUACAUUUACAAAAAUUUGAGACUUAAAUGUAAUGUGUAAGUGAUCAGAGUUGUACAAUUGAUAGUGCACUACUUAAUGUUGGAUACUGUUGCCACAUUUAGAGUUAUGUACAGGGUGUGACUCAUUUCCAUUUGAAAUUUUGGUCAAUAAAGACUCAAAGGAU